rnacentral:rRNA from 1 species
UGGGGAAUUUUGGACAAUGGGCGCAAGCCUGAUCCAGCCAUGCCGCGUGCAGGGUGAAGGCCUUCGGGUUGUAAACUGCUUUUGUACGGAACGAAAAGACUCCUUCUAAUAAAGGGGGUCCAUGACGGUACCGUAAGAAUAAGCACCGGCUAACUCCGUGCCAGCAGCCGCGGUAAUACGGAGGGGGCUAGCGUUGUUCGGAAUUACUGGGCGUAAAGCGUGCGCAGGCGGUUAUGCAAGACAGAGGUGAAAUCCCCGGGCUCAACCUGGGAACUGCCUUUGUGACUGCAUAGCUAGAGUACGGUAGAGGGGGAUGGAAUUCCGCGUGUAGCAGUGAAAUGCGUAGAUAUGCGGAGGAACACCGAUGGCGAAGGCAAUCCCCUGGACCUGUACUGACGCUCAUGCACGAAAGCGUGGGGAGCAAACA